rnacentral:misc_RNA from 1 species
AUGUUCACAAGGAAAAGGUUCAAUGUCAGAUCCAGAUAAUACAAGAGGUCCAAUGUAGCAAUUAGUUCCUUGCACUCUCAUCUAGUAUUAGUCGACUCAGAGUCAGAAGUGUAUACAGAUUCCAGAAACUUGAACUGGAGAUUAUCAGUUCAUCAAAAUAUCCAUUUUAAAGCAACAAUAAUCCACAAAGUAUACCCAAAACCAGGUCAACAGCUUUGUUCCAAAAACAAAAGAACAGAAAUUCAACAAUGGAUCUUGAGACCGCAUGCACAUGAAUAGCAGAAUCAAAAUGUUGCAUGAAAUCCCUUCAUUUAAAAAGAAGGAAUUUUAUCGACACUUAAAACACAAGGGAAAUCACUUAAAAUCAGAGCCUUCAAUCCAAGGCGUCAAGUUGACUAGAAUCCAGCGAAAAUAACAAGAAUUCAGAAACCAAAUCACUAAAAUAACAUCAAGAAAUUUGUAAUAGACAUCUAAAGCAAGGUAUUAAGGCACCGAA